UUGGUGGGACCACGGCUAAACCGUGGUCAAACCGUAGCUACCAGCUGUGGGCUGGCUAAAAAAGGAUAACUUUCAAAAAUCCACUUGUGCUAACAAGCUAAACUGGUGCCAGGUGGUUAAACCUGGCUUAGGAGCAGCGUGGAGCUGAGUUUUAUUGAUUGAAACAGAAGCACUGCACGCAGGCUCUGCUCUCAGCGCAGGGGGAGUCACCCUGCAAAUAAAGAGCUUUUAUUAUUAUUUUUAGCCUGCAUCCCUAAGGAAAUCAAGCUUAUUUGGGUUUGUCCACGUGUGCUGGUUUGCCCAUCCCUGCCUGCUCGUGUCCAUGGGAGAAAGAGUGAAAACAUUUCAGCUGGAAAAUUCUCAUCAUUGCAAUACUGACCUUUGCAAAGGGCUUUAAAUCCUUGAGUGGAAGUAGCAGGUAAGUGCGAAGUUUUAUUAACUGAUUACCUCUGUGGUUUCGACUACAUUGGUAGUCAAAUUUGAUUUAGAGGACCAGGCAUGUAAAAAAAAAUCAGCUUUCUGACAUAAUUUUGGCUUGCUGCAGCCUGAGCAGCGUCCUGCAAGAUCAGCUCCCCUCCACCUGAUUCAGGAGAGCAAAUCGAGUGCAAACUGAUUAUUAGCUGCUCCUCUCGGAUAUCUCAUUUAAAUCUGCUCUGUGUUGUGGAAGGAAAUGAAUCAUUCCAAUUAAAAAGCUGAGAAAAUCAGGGAGCUGGGGGGAGCAGCCUUUGGGGAGGAAUAUUAAGCUGGUGCUGGGUGGCUCUGCCCUGGUGCUGGGGCCAGGGUGCAUUUGCAGCUGCAAACCCCACGUGGGGUCCCUUUGCACCCCCUGCUCCCAACCUGGGCGUGCUGGGGCUGUGUCCACAUCUCCCCAUGGAAUUUGGGGUCACACACCUGCCCUGUGCAGUAUCUAAAGGCAAAGGGCAAUUCCAGAAGCUGGAAAGAGCAGAUGUUCAAUCUCUCCCUUCCUUCUGAACAUCAGUGGGGGUAAAACAGGCAAAUUCCUCUUCCUCUUCCCCCCCCACCCUGCUUUUUUUUUUUUUUCUCUUUUUUUAUUCCACAUUGACAAGUGUAAUAGAUAUGAAACACCACAACAAUGAAAGCCCAGACUUUCUCGUGCCUUUGCCUCUCUUACUUCCAGGCUAUUUACUGAGAAGUAUUUACUGUGAAGUGCAAGAAACAAAAUGUUCUGAAAAUGCUGCAGCAAAAUGGAGGGGGGGGGGGAAGAGAAUAAUAUAAAACAUGUAAGCAGCUUGAUCAAAAUGAAGCAAUAUUGACAGAAAAUGGGGUUUUAAGCAGCAGGACAACAGCAACUCAGAUGGAUUUCAUUCUUGUGGUAUUACAACGCUAAGCCAAGCACCUGGAAGAGAGAGAGAGAGGAAAAUAAUCACGUUUCCCUGGUUUAGAAAAUCUUUUCCUUGUCAUUUAAAAAUACACAUGACAAGUGAAAGCUGUGCAGAGUCCUGCUGGAAAAACAUGGAGCUGGGACUUGGAGGUUUUCCCUGCUCCUGCUUCAGAGCUUCCCCUGUGGCUUUAAGGAAACAUAUCCCUCGUGCCUCAGUUUCCCCUCUGCAGAGCACCACUCCCCUUUGUCACCUGCUUGCAGCACAAAUGCUUCCAAGGGCUGCUGCCAUGCAAGGUUAAAGCAGCCGAGCUGGACCUGCUGGGACGUUGUGCACGGAUGGGCUGGGUGUGCUGCUGGAAACUGGGAUUUAUGGGGCAUUUCUGAGGAGUUGGUGGUGCAGAGGUGAACCUCAGGGCGAAGCUCCACAAGAUAUUUCCUUGGAUAAGAGAGAAUUGCCACCAUGCAACCCCUCCUUGCUGUGAACACACACACGGAGCACCAGCCAGCCUUCGGAAUUCCCAGCUCCUCUUUCACUGCCCAGAUGUGUGUGGGGAUUGUCUCAGUGUCCUGUUACAGGAGAACUGGGGCCAGGUUUCACCCUCCACCACCUGCCCCGAGGUGGCUGGUGAUAUUCAGAUCUGGGCAGAUUCUCCCAAUCCACUGGAAAACUGCUGAAACUCUGGGUUAGGGUGCUGUUUGCAUGUCUGAACAUGGCAGACACCGGACUGCAUUAGUGCUGGCUAAGAAUUGCCAUCUGAUCCUGGCGUUUUCCAGGCCCCACGGAACUUUCCCAGCUCGGCAGGGACGCUGGAGGGAAGGCGAGAGCUCCGCAGCUCCUCCCGUGGCUGCAGGAGGGGAGCUGGCAGCAAGAAAAUGUGAUGGGAAGGAUGUGCUGAGGCUGCUGGACACUGUCCUCAUCACCAGUUAUGCCUUUCAAUAUAAUUUUUGGCGAUUUUUCAUCUUCCAGAUUCGCUGUGGAACCUGGCUUGGACUUUUUUUUUGCUGAGGAGAUAAAAACCAAUGCAUUAGAAAAUAAUGAAUGAGCUGCAAAGGGUUAAAGGGAGAAUUUGUAUAAAAACAAUGAAUCCCAUUUUUGCUUGAUUGGCACUUUAAUUAGGCCCAUGUCCUUUUGCUGCCACUGCAAUCAGAUUGGAGGAGAAUGGGAAGCUUCCACACCGUUCUAUUUAUCUCAAGAUUACAAGAUUUACAUUUUUUUUCAAUGCAAAGGGGAAAAAAGAAAAAGAAAAAGAAAAAGAAAGGAAAAAAAACCCUGCUACUUUAUAAACGUGGCAAGGGAAUGAUAUUAUUUAGGGCUCGGUGAAAGUGUGGCUUCCUGAUUGCAGCAAGAAUUAAUCUUAUUAUGUUAACAAGGGAUUGUUAUGCUAAGGAGAAGAGGGAAGAAAAGUUCUGUCUCUCAAGUCUGCCAGAGACUGCGCAGGCUCCAGAGCCAGCCUUGAAUUUAAGAGCUCCAGCGAAAAGAAGAAAGCCAAAAGUCCUUGUGUUUUUACAAGGCAAUUUCCCUCGUUUUCCUCUCCCUGUUUUUAGGGGGAGGUUGCAACUCCAGCUCACAGUGCCCGGGAGUCUCCUGGGACGGGCUCCAGAUUGGCUGGGCUGGUAAAGAAUGGUUCAGGUGUGAUCUGAACUCACACCACUGUACCUGAGCACAGCCUGGAAUCCCAAACAAGAUCAGCCCAGACAUGGAAAUGGGGCUGAGCAGGGUUUUACACCCACAACUCUGGGUGUAAAGCAACCAAGACCAUAAAAAACAACUCUGAGCCCAUUACAGCGGGGGAAAAUGGGACCCUGGAGAUUUCCAGUUCCUCACCUUCGUGGGAAAUGUAUCUGUGGGAAAGAAGGGUCCCUUUAUCCAUUGAAAAAUAGAAAAAAAAAAUUGUUCUGCACUACUUCUGGUGCUUUCAGGUGUAACCCUGACCCUUCUUCCCCAUCUCCCAAUCCUGAACCCCAACAUCUGCAGUCCAGGGAAUGAACAUUCCCCAGCACGUGUUCACAUCCUCCCCGAGCUGGUUGU